GACAGAGGUGCCGAGCGUUAGGCGGAAUCACUGGGCUUAAAGCGUGUGUAGGCGGAUCUGUAAGUACCUUGUGAAAUCCCACGGCUCAACCGUGGAACUGCUGGGUAUACUGGUUGUCUUGAGCCAGCUAGGGGCGAGCGGAACAGACGGUGGAGCGGUGAAAUGCGUAGAUAUCGUCUGGAACGCCGAAGGUGAAAACAGCUCGCUGGGGCUGCGCUGACGCUGAGACACGAAAGCCAGGGGAGCGAACGGG
rnacentral:rRNA from 1 species